UGGGGAUUUAUCUGGCCGCAAGGGCUUGUUUCAAUUGUUGCGAUGCGACUGACAUGAGAUGGGCGGUGACUUUCAAUGCAGUCCAACUUUGCAAGUGGCAUUCGCGUUGCAGCGUCAUGAAUACCCGCCUAGGAUUUAAUUUCUGGCCUUGUUUACUUCGUUGGCUGUGUACCGAGAUUUAGGACCGUGUCCUCAGCGGCGAGAGGCAUUGACAGCUCAAGAUGACAGCCGGUCUCCAACGAACACCAACGGCCGACGGAGGCAGUCGAACACACCGAAGUGUUCCUGCUUGCGUCCGAUGCGGAUGGACAGCACCGCCUGUUGUGCCACCAUCACCGGGCGGAACCGCAAGAAAUCCGCUGCAAGUGUGUGGCAGACUACCACUGUCGUGACACGUGUGUCUGCCAAUGCUACGCCGCGCCACCAUCUGAUCCUCGAACGGCUAUUUCAUCAUGCCGUCGCCAUCUGACUUCAGCGGUCCGAUGAUCGCAAGAUCAUCACCACGGCGCAGCCCGACGUCACAACUACCACGUGCGGAUGUUGCGCCCUGUGGCGGGACGGGACGUGGGUGUCCAUCAAUCGUGUCCGCUGCAUCGCCUCGGGGGGACCGGUGGGCUGUUGCGUCUGGUGGACCUGUGCAACUCCACCGCUGUGUGUGUGUCAUGUCAUGCGAGCCGCCCCGUGCAAUCCGUCCGCUAAGGCUACGUACCGAGGCUAAUAUCCACUAUGUUGGCCGAUUGUCGUCAUUGCUUGACCGGCAAUUUUCGAUCGACUAGCCUCUCUGCGACUCCAGAUCGCUAUAACCGCUCUUUUGUAGGCAUCAGCCAUGUAAGUGGGGUGCGGUAGCGCCUGAACAGUACCUCGGCCGGGCGCCACGUAUGCACCGGUGGUAACAGCCACUCUUAUUUUCAUCAAUGUCGGGCAUUCGAAAUGCCGAAACAAUAAUCUGACAGGCAAAGGCCCGUCCGCACCUUGCAGACCGUGUGAGGACUCCGUUGCUGAUGCUGGAGCCAGUCGGCUCUUGCUAACUAGAUGCAUCACAUUAAAGGCCGCCGGCCGAAAACGCUGGUGGAGAGCUCAAUGAUGAAAAGUGCUCAAAAGAGCCCAAAAUGCGAGCGCUACACUAGGCUGUCAAGCCCCUUCUCAACGUACAGAUAUGCACUAGAAGGGAGUGCUCCACAUUUGAAUGCGGUUUUCCAUUUUAAAUGGCUAUACUGGCGACAUCUUGAUGCAGGUCAGUACCAUGCCCCUUUAAGACGAGAAAAACUUUGAGCCCUGAACUUAAAGGCCGCAAAGAUGUGGAAGAGUGAUGGCUGGAAAAUAUGUCAAGGUCGCCGUGACAUUCAUGACGUCAUAAUCAAGUCAUUGAAAUCAUGCCAUUCCGCAAGGCAUGCGGCGAUCAGGGCUCAGCAAACUAUAAUGAACAAGUCGUUCAUAUCUAGCGUUCGUGAGGACGGGUUCCAGAUGCAACAGCUGUCAACUGGCCCUCAAUUAAUGUUUUGAAAGGUACGAUGACGUAAUUCAAACAAUGACGCACAAAGAGGCACAAUUAUUAAACGGAGAUUGUGUUGUAUACCUAAGCCUUCUCCAGUUAAUAAUAUAUCAAUAGUUCACCAUA